AGCGAACGCUGGCGGCAGGCCUAACACAUGCAAGUCGAACGAGACCUUCGGGUCUAGUGGCGCACGGGUGCGUAACGCGUGGGAAUCUGCCCUUCGGUUCGGAAUAACAGUUAGAAAUGACUGCUAAUACCGGAUGAUGACGUAAGUCCAAAGAUUUAUCGCCGAAGGAUGAGCCCGCGUAGGAUUAGGUAGUUGGUGGGGUAAUGGCCCACCAAGCCGACGAUCCUUAGCUGGUCUGAGAGGAUGACCAGCCACACUGGGACUGAGACACGGCCCAGACUCCUACGGGAGGCAGCAGUGGGGAAUAUUGGACAAUGGGCGAAAGCCUGAUCCAGCAAUGCCGCGUGAGUGAUGAAGGCCUUAGGGUUGUAAAGCUCUUUUACCAGGGAUGAUAAUGACAGUACCUGGAGAAUAAGCUCCGGCUAACUCCGUGCCAGCAGCCGCCGUAACAC
rnacentral:rRNA from 1 species